rnacentral:tRNA from 1 species
GACUUUGUAGUCAAUAAAUGAUAUUAGAUUGCAAAUCUAAAGUAGUAUCUAUACCAAAGUCU